GACGAACGCUGGCGGCGUGCCUAAUACAUGCAAGUAGAACGCUGAAGAGAGGAGCUUGCUCUUCUUGGAUGAGUUGCGCACGGGUGAGUAACGCGUAGGUAACCUGCCUUGUAGCGGGGGAUAACUAUUGGAAACGAUAUCUAAUACCGCAUAACAAUGGAUGACACAUUUCAUUUAGUUGAAAGGGGCAAUUGCUCCACUACAAGAUGGACCUGCGUUGUAUUAGCUAGUAGGUGAGGUAAUGGCGCACCUAGGCGACGAUACAUAGCCGACCUGAGAGGGUGAGUGGCCACACUGGGAGUGUGACACGGCCCAGACUCCUACGGGAGGCAGCAGGAGGGAAUCUGCGGCAAUGGGGGCAAACCUGACCGAGCAACGCCGAGUGAGUGAAGAGGGUUCUCGGAUCGUAAAGGUCUGUUGUAAGUCAAGAACGGGUGUGAGAGUGGAAAGUUCACACUGUGACGGUAGCUUAUAAGAAAGGGACGGCUAACUACGUG
rnacentral:rRNA from 1 species